rnacentral:rRNA from 1 species
UGAUCGAUUAAUUUAAGUGGGGGGAACAGUUGGAACGACUGCUAAAUACCGCAUAAUGUCUACGGACCAAAGGGGGCUUCGGCUCUCGCCUUUAGAUUGGCCCAAGUGGGAUUAGCUAGUUGGUGAGGCAAUGGCUCACCAAGGCGACGAUCCCUAGCUGGUUUGAGAGGAUGAUCAGCCACACUGGGACUGAGACACGGCCCAGACUCCUACGGGAGGCAGCAGUGGGGAAUAUUGCACAAUGGGCGCAAGCCUGAUGCAGCCAUGCCGCGUGUGUGAAGAAGGCCUUCGGGUUGUAAAGCACUUUCAGUCAGGAGGAAAGGUUAGUAGUUAAUACCUGCUAGCUGUGACGUUACUGACAGAAGAAGCACCGGCUAACUCCGUGCCAGCAGCCGCGGUAAUACGGAGGGUGCGAGCGUUAAUCGGAAUUACUGGGCGUAAAGCGUACGCAGGCGGUUUGUUAAGCGAGAUGUGAAAGCCCCGGGCUCAACCUGGGAACUGCAUUUCGAACUGGCAAACUAGAGUGUGAUAGAGGGUGGUAGAAUUUCAGGUGUAGCGGUGAAAUGCGUAGAGAUCUGGAGGAAUACCGAUGGCGAAGGCAGCCUUCUGGCAUAAUACUGACACUGAGGCUCGAAAGCGUGGGUAGCAAACAGGAUUAGAUACCCUGGUAGUCCACGCCGUAAACGAUGUCUACUAGUCGUUGGGUCCCUUGAGGACUUAGUGACGCAGCUAACGCAAUAAGUAGACCGCCUGGGGAGUACGGCCGCAAGGUUAAAACUCAAAUGAAUUGACGGGGGCCCGCACAAGCCGAUGGAAGCAUUGUGGUUUAAUUCGAUGCAACGCGAAGAACCUUUACCCUGGUUCUUUGACCAUAUCUAGAAUCCCUGCAGAAGAUGCCGGGAGUGCCUUCCGGGAAUUAAGAAUACAAGUUGCUGCCAUGGGCUGUCGUCAGCUCGUGUCCGUGAGAUGAUGGGUUAAAGUCCCGCAACGAGCGCAACCCCUUGGUCCUUAGUUACAGCGGGUUAAGCCGGAACUUCUAGGGAUACUGCCAUGACAAACUGGGGGAAGGCCGGGGAUCGACGUUCUAAGUUCAUUAUGUCCCUUACGUACCAGGCUCAUCCCACCGUGGCCUAACAAUGGAUAGGUUACCAGAGAGGGACA